ACUCGAGGCAUGUCUGCUGCCAGUUCUCCUCCAAGGAUGGCAAAGCUGAGAAGUAGCCGGUGUCGUGGACAAGCUGCAGUUCCUGGAAUAUACUAUAACUGGCCAAGACAUCCAUGCUGCUGCCGGCCGGCCCCUGCUCUGCUUUGUGUGUGUUUGUUUGCUCUGGAGGGGGGUGUUUGGGAUCAUAAAAAAAAGAGGAGGAAAAGCAACCAAUGAUAGAUCCAGCGUCCCUUUUGCUUUGUUUUGUUUCAGUCACACUUCAAAAAAAAAAAAAAAAAAAAAAGAAAAAAAAAAGGAAUUCGGUCAGCGCGGAGGGACGCGGGGCCGGGCCGAGGCGGCCGCGCUCCGAGCACCCCGCGCCCGCCGCACCGGGGCACGUCCCCGUCCCCGUCCCCGUCCCCGUCCCCG
rnacentral:lncRNA from 1 species